UACGUAGGGUGCGAGCGUUUGUCCGGAAUUAUUGGGCGUAAAGAGCUCGUAGGCGGUCUGUCGCGUCGGUCGUGAAAAACUUGGGGCUUAACCCUGAGCUUGCGGUCGAUACGGGCAUGACUGGAGUUCGGCAGGGGAGACUGGAAUUCCUGGUGUAGCGGUGAAAUGCGCAGAUAUCAGGAGGAACACCGGUGGCGAAGGCGGGUCUCUGGGCCGAUACUGACGCUGAGGAGCGAAAGCGUGGGGAGCAAACAGG
rnacentral:rRNA from 1 species